rnacentral:lncRNA from 1 species
GGAUGUUUAAUGGGGAUGUGGAGAUUCAUUGUACUGUUUCUAUAUUUUUGUGGAUGUUGAAAAAUAUUUUCUUCUUUCUUUUUUUUUUUUGAGAUGGAGUCUCCCUCUAUUGCCCAGGCUGGAGUGCAGUUGUGCAAUCUCUGUUCACUGCAACCUCCGCCUCCCGGGUUCAAGUGGUUCUCCUGCCUCAGCCUCCCAAGUAGCUGGGACUACAGGCAUGUGCCACCAUGCCUGGCUAACUUUUGCAUCUUUAGUAGAGAUGGGGUUUUACCAUGUUGGCCAGGCUGGUAUCGAACUCCUGACCUUGUGAUCCGCCCACCUUGGCUUCCCAAAGUACUGGAAUUACAGGCAUAAGCCACCACACCCGGCCGAAAAAUAUAUUUAAAAAGGUAAGAAACACACAAGACAAGCAGCUUGGACUUAUCUUCUCCAUGAUACCUACCCAGUAUCCCUGUGAGCAGCUGACAUUCCUUUCUCCAAGCAGUUGCUGUAUUUUGAACAUUGCUCGAGCAAGAAACUUUUUAUAAUGGGUUUAUUUAUCCAUGUCACCUGCUAUACUAUGUUUAUUGUAGCUCAGCAUGAUUUCCAGGUACCAAGCACAGUACUUGGUGCGUAAUAGUGCUAACUGAAUGUUGGAUGGAUGGAGGGAUUAAAAAAAAGAAAAACACCUGAAUAUCAGACACUUAAUAAAUGUUUCUUGGGAGGCCGAGAUGGGCGGAUCACGAGGUCAGAAGUUCGAGACCAGCCUGGCCAACAUGGUAAAACGCCGUCUCUACUAAAAAUACAAAAAUUAGCUAGGUGUGGUGGCAGGCACCUGUAAUCCCCACUGCUCAGGAGGCUGAGGCAGGAGAAUCACUUGAGCCCGGGAGGCAGAGGUUGCAGUGAGCCGAGAUCACGCCAUUGCACUCCAGCCUGGGUGACAGAGCAAGACUCUGUCUCAAAAAAAAUAAAAAAUAAAAUAAAUAAAUGUUUUCUGAACUGUAUUCUCUAUCUGUUCUUAGUUAAUUUGUGUUUGCCAUUUUUAAAGUCAAAAACCAGGGAGAGUUCUCUACACAAUGUAAAUAUUUGAUAAGUACUUAUUAAUUGCUUAUUGUGCUAGUCUAUUCUUUAAAUAUCAGAGGUUCCAAAACAAAGAGCUCCAAUAGUAGGAUCACAGUCAGGUAACCAAUUAUCCGAGUAGGAAGGUUGCCUUAGUUGAAGUAACUGGAGGUGAAUGGGGAUUUGUCAGGCAGGCUCUUCCAGAUAAAGGUGAACCUUCCCUGUUGUUUUGAUAGAAGGAGGAAAUGGAAUGACCAUCAAGAGAAAGGUAGUUGCUGGCUUGAGAGGAUCAUCUGUGCAACAGGCAGCUAAGCAGAAGAAGACUUUAUAUAUAUUUUUAAUACCACCCACACUGUUGCUAGUAUUCCCCACCACUCCAUUGGCCUGGUGAACUCUUAUUCAUCCUUCAAAACCCAGCUUAACCAUGGCCUUCAGGAAAUCUUGAGCUGGCUUCCCAGGACAGAGUGGGUCAGUCCUCUGCAUGCUCCUGCUGCUGUGCUGUACUCACCAUACUGUACUGUAAUUUACUGGUUUGUAAGUCAUUUCCACUGCUGGGUUGUGAGCUCCUCCAAGGCAGGGGCUUUGCCUUAUCUGCCUAUGUUCCCAGGACUUACACAGUGCCUGAUGUGUAGUAGGUACCCCAUGAAUGUUUUACAUAAUUAGCAGGAGCGUAUCAGGUAAAUUAGCAAAGCAAACUGUGGGAUGUGGGAUGUCAGACAAUAGGAGUAGGUGGGCUUAUGGGAGCUGAAGAGCACAUGCUCCUCAGCUCUGAUUGAUUGCUCUGUGCGAUAGGGGCCCAGUGGUGGUGGAUCUAACAACUUUUUAAGAGAUUCUGACAAUUCAGACUUUACAUGUUGAAUAUUCCGGAUUUUCAACAUUAGCAACUAAUUCCAUUUGGAGGAAAAAAUGUAGCAUGGGUCUACAGACAAGAUCUGGCUGUAAUUCAUGUUCAGAGGUAAUCAGGAAACGAUUAGUUUACUGAAAAUGUAGUCGACAAUCAAAUGGCUGCUAGGUUGCCAAUAAAAUGUGUUGAGUGGAAUUCACAUGCCCCAGAAAGCUCCUCCUGGUGCUGUGGGCAAGGAAGAGGGCCCAAGUGUGGGAAGAAGGAUUCAGGAGGCAGAGCCAACUCUCCCAGUGCUGCCGGAGCCACUCUUGCUUGAGCUGAAGUACUGUGGACUGUUUUGCAGCCUUCUUGAUAUUGCUCAAACUGAGCCACCCUUGAUAUUGUGCCUAUCAGAAUGAUGGAUUAAAUGUUAUUGUUUCCUUAUAUUCCAUAGGCAUCAGAUAUCAACUGUCAUUGUGAAACAUAUUACAAUGUAAGAGAUUUGAUAUUGUCCUAACAGCUUUAGUCUCUGGUGGCUUUACUGAGCUCUUCUGGUUUAGAGGUGAAACAACCCAGAGAAAGGAUUUAUUUAUGUAUUCGUUUUUGGUCUGAAGACCAAAAAGGAUGUUUGCAAGAUAUUAACAGUAAUCAUUCAUUCAACAACUGUUUUUAAAGCACCUGCUGUACGAUACCUGCUACAGAUACAGUGAUGGUGAAAGUAUAGUUGUCUCAGUGUUAUUAUAGAAGCUUUUACUCUGUAUUUUCCUCGAUUUCUAUUUUCUGUACUGAUCAUGCAUAAUUUUUUACAAUCAUUAAAAAAACAAGAAAGCAA